CCGGGAUGUAGUUUAGUGGUAGAGGAUUUGCAUGGUAUGCAUGAAGCCCAGGGUUCAAUUCCCAGCACUGGG
rnacentral:tRNA from 1 species